CUCCUCAGUCCUCACUCCGCCGGUGCCGCCGGAGCGGAGAACCCAGACAGGGAGCAAGGAGAGCCGACGGUGCCGGCGGAGAGCGAGACGAUGCGGUGAGCGAACGAGUCGGGGGGUGGUUUUCCUCGCAUCACAGGCGCACGCGGCUGCCCAAGCACCCGCUGACUUCCAUGUCUUGUUUGCUGCAACGAAGCAAACAAUUUGGCAGGCAAUAUCUGGGAACGGGUUACACAGCCGCAUUAGCGACAAGACUUCAGAUUGCUUUCCUGCCUUUUCAUCUGCUCUCCCCUCUGGAUCCUUCACUGAUACCACUUCAUUGAUUGAGACCAGGCUCCAAGCAGAUUGAUGAUACUCUGCAUGAUUUGCCUUUUUCACGGUUUUGUUCCACUUGUCAUACAUCAAACACGGGAUAGCAUAUCAUUUGUCUUCGAUUCUAGAACAAUACAAAAGAAAUUAGCUAGGCAGCUGCCCUUUUGGAGGUCACUCUAUCAGAUCCUCUCAACACCCAAGUAUACUGACCUCAGACCCAUUAAAAUAGCCGCAAAUGAGAAGACAAAUGAGUUGGUUGGUUAUGAUAACAAACUGCAAAUUUAGUGUCUUCCCGUCCAUUUGCGAAGAUGGAGGAGCACACAAUUUCUGUUGGUAUAAACUUGUAGUGUUCUUUCACUCCUGUGUUAGCAUCAUUAGUAGUACUGUAGCAGUCGAAUAGGGUAACCAUAUUUGGUCCCCUUUAUACAUGGAAAUCAUGCAUAACACACCAUCAUUCUACGCUUAACUUCCAAUAUCACUCUUGCAUUUGACAGAUCUAAUAAAACCACACUGUACAGAGAAUAAAAAGAAACCCAACUCACACAUGCCUUUUAUUAAACCAACCGCGUCACUUCACCUUUUCAGAUCCCACAUGCCAAGAAAGGCUUGGUUAGGCACGGCUAGUACUUU